AGGUCAAGCUACUAAGGGCGCACGGGGGAUGCCUUGGCGCCAAGAGCCGAUGAAGGGCGUGGCGAGACUGCGAAAAGCCCCGGUUAGCUGUCGGGCAAGCUGAGCCGGGGAUUCCCGAAUGAGGCAACUCACUCAGGCAAAACCUGAGUACUCAUAGCUGAACACAUAGGCUAUGUAGAGGUAAGCGGGGGAACUGAAACAUCUAAGUACCCCGAGGAACAGAAAUCAACCGAGAUUCCCUGAGUAGUGGCGAACGAAACGGGAACAGCCCAAACCACGAUGACUUAGUGGCCUCGAGGCCUAUGUCACCGUGGGGUUGCAGGACUGGCCGGAGAGGACUCGAGACCUCUCAGGGAGUUACAAACCGUAGCCCUAGCCGAAGGACUCUGGAACGAGCCGCCACAGAGGGUGAUGGCCCCGUAGGCGAAAGGGUGAGGCUCCCGGUCAUGAUCCUGAGUACCGCGGGACACGUGGAAUCCUGUGGGAAGCAGGGGGGACCACCCUCCAAGGCUAAAUACUCUUGGCGACCGAUAGUGAACAAGUACCGUGAGGGAAAGGUGAAAAGAACCCCGAGAGGGGAGUGAAAUAGACCUGAAACCGUGUGCCUACAAGCAGUCAGAGUCCUUCUUCGGAAGGAUAAUGGCGUGCCUAUUGAAGAAUGAGCCGACGAGUUAAUCUCUGUGGCAAGGUUAAGUCGUUCAGCGACGGAGCCGAAGCGAAAGCGAGUCCGAACAGGGCGACCAGUCGCAGGGAUUAGACCCGAAGCCGGGUGAGCUACCCAUGGCCAGGGUGAAGGUCGCUUAACCGCGACUGGAGGCCCGAACCCACCAAUGAGGCAAAAUUGGGGGAUGAGCUGUGGGUAGAGGUGAAAUGCCAACCGAACCCGGAGAUAGCUGGUUCUCCCCGAAAUGCAUUGAGGUGCAGCCUCGGGUGUUCAGUUGCGCAGGUAGGGCACUGGAUGGGCUAGGGGGCGCGAGCUUACCAAACUCAACCAAACCACGAAUGGCGCAACUUCAGAGCCCGGGAGUGAGGCAGUGGGGGAUAAGCUUCAUUGCCAAGAGGGAAACAGCCCAGACCAUCAGCUAAGGUCCCUAAGUGUAGGCUAAGUGGUAAAGGAUGUAGAGUUGCACAGACAGCCAGGAUGUUGGCUUAGAGGCAGCCAUCAUUGAAAGAGUGCGUAACAGCUCACUGGUCGAGUGGCACUGCGCCGAAAAUCCAGCGGGGCUCAAGCCUACCACCGAAGCUAUGGGAUUGGUUCUCUGAACCGAUCGGUAGGGGAGCGUUGCCUACGCGUUGAAGCUGUGUCGUGAGGCACGGUCGAGUGUAGGGAAGUGAGAAUGUCGGCAUGAGUAGCGCAAGGCGUGUGAGAAACACGCCCACCGUAAGCCUAAGGUUUCCUACGGAAGGUUAAUCCGCGUAGGGUUAGUCGGGCCUAAGCCGAGGCCGAAAGGCGUAGGCGAUGGACAACUGGUCAAUAUUCCAGUACCGCUUGCUCUUCGUUAAACCUAAGGGGGGACACAGGAGGGUAGGUCGAGCGUGCCCAUUGGACAUGGUGCGUCCCUGAUCGUAGGCGUGAGCCGGCAGGCAAAUCCACCGGCUCGUCAAGCUGAGGAGAUGGGGAAGUUGAGGGGCAACCCGAGGCGAUUCGGCUGAGCCCACACUGUCAAGAAAAGCCUCGUAGCUGAAGAGUGAGCGCCCGUACCGCAAACCGACUCUGGUAGGCGGGGGUAAGUACCCCAAGGUGAUCGAGAGAACCCUCGUUAAGGAACUCGGCAAUCUGGCCCCGUAACUUCGGGAGAAGGGGUGCCUCGGUUCGUGACGGGACUCGCUCCCCGAGCGUCCCGAGGUCGCAGUGAGCAGGCCCAGGCGACUGUUUAACAAAAACACAGGUCUCUGCUAAGGCGUAAGCCAAUGUAUAGGGGCUGACACCUGCCCAGUGCUGGAAGGUUAAGGGGAUGUGUCAUGGCUCUUCGGAGCCGGCAGCACUGAACCGAAGCCCCAGUGAACGGCGGCCGUAACUAUAACGGUCCUAAGGUAGCGAAAUCCCUUGUCGGGUAAGUUCCGACCCGCACGAAUGGUGUAACGACUUGGGCGCUGUCUCAACGAGGGACUCGGCGAAAUUGAAAUACCAGUGAAGAUGCUGGUUACCCGCGGCAGGACAAAAAGACCCCGUGGAGCUUUACUAUAGCUUGGCAUGGGAUUGAAGUUUAGCAUGUGUAGGAUAGGUGGGAGGCUGGGAAGCCGGGGCGUCAGCUUCGGUGGAGCCAUCCUUGAAAUACCACCCUUGUUGGAUUUUGGUUCUAACCCCUGAGCAAGCAGGGGGACAAUGCCAGGUGGGUAGUUUGACUGGGGCGGUCGCCUCCCAAAGCGUAACGGAGGCGCCCAAAGGUCCCCUCAGGGUGGAUGGAAAUCACCCGUCGAGUGCAUUGGCAUAAGGGGGCUUGACUGUGAGACCAACAAGUCGAGCAGGGACGAAAGUCGGGCAAAGUGAUCCUACGGCACUGUGUGGAAAGGCCGUGGCUUAACGGAUAAAAGCUACCCCGGGGAUAACAGGCUUAUCUCGCCCAAGAGUUCAUAUCGACGGCGAGGUUUGGCACCUCGAUGUCGGCUCGUCGCAUCCUGGGGCUGGAGAAGGUCCCAAGGGUUGGGCUGUUCGCCCAUUAAAGCGGCACGCGAGCUGGGUUCAGACCGUCGUGAGACAGGUCGGUCUCUAUCCGCCGUGGGCGUAGCAGAUUUGAGGGGAGCUCUCCCUAGUACGAGAGGACCGGGAGGGACAGACCUCUGGUGUGCCAGUUGUUCCGCCAGGAGCACCGCUGGGUAGCCAAGUCUGGAACGGAUAAGCGCUGAAAGCAUCUCAAGUGCGAAGCCGACCCCAAGAUGAGAUCUGCCACCGGGUUAACCGGGUAAGACCGCAGCAAGACCAGCUGUUUGAUAGGCGGCGUGUGUAAGCACCGCAAGGUGUUCAGCUAAGCCGUACUAACGGUCGAGGGCUUGACCUACA
rnacentral:rRNA from 1 species